GCAUACACAAGAUAUAUAUACAUGCACUCAUAUAUACAUGCAUACAUAUAUGUAUAUGCAUUCAUGACACAUAUACAAACAAUAUGGCAAGUGUAUGAUUGAGCAGACGACAUCGAACACAGCGUAGACGACAUUUCAUGCAAGCACGCUUGCGCGCACACAAAUAGACACACACACAUACAUUUACACAUACACCAACACGUGCACACACACACACACACACACACACACACACACACACACACACACACACACACACACACACACACACAGAGAAACAUACGUCGAUCAAUGCAGCUACUAUUUGAUCGAGCAGACGACAUUACGAACAGAAUACAUCUACGAUCUGCAGCAAUUGUCCAGGGAAGACUAAGGACAGCAAAUGUGAGCAGAAACGAAUCCAAAAACCUAAUCUCCGGUGAUAUUGCAGAGAUAAUAAAAAUAUUAAUAUUAA